rnacentral:rRNA from 1 species
UCCGUGCCAGCAGCCGCGGUAAUACGGAGGGUGCGAGCGUUAAUCGGAAUUACUGGGCGUAAAGCGCAUGCAGGCGGCCUGUUAAGUCAGAUCGUGAAAGCCCGGGGCUUAACCUCGGAAUUGCAUUUGAAACUGGCAGGCUAGAGUCUUGUAGAGGGGGGUAGGAAUUUCAGGUGUAGCGGUGAAAUCGCGUAGAGAUCUGAAGGAAUACCAGUGGCGAAGGCGGCCCCCUGGACAAAGACUGACGCUCAGGUACUGCGAAAGCGUGGGGAGCCAAACAGGAUUAGAUACCCCUGGUAG